UCCUGCAAUAUAAGAACCACCAUAAAUCACCUUUUGUGAUAUAAAAUUGCAAAAUGAGAAUAAGAACUAAACCAAUUAGAGAAAAACUAAGCUAGACAUGUUUUCUUUUUUUUCCCUUUCAAAUGGCAUAUAGCAAUGGACACGAGGAAAGAAAAUGCAAAUAUCUGUGCCUCAAAUGAAUUUGAUGCACCGAGAAUAUUUAAAGAACUAUGCAGCUACAUGCAGGUUCUACAAAGCACAAAGCACUGGUAGCAGUUUCGGUAAUAUAUGCGCAGCAUUAUUUCAUUUUGAUCAAUGGUAAUAUAAACUGGAUUUUUUAAGUUUUAGCAGAAAAGGAAACUGGAUUUCAAGUAAAUGUGAGAAACAGAAGGAAUCAUUAGUAAGACAUUUACGUAAAAAAGCACUAACAAAGACUGAGGUCUUCCAAUAAAGCAACAAGAUGGAAAGAAACUAGAGAGAAAUUUAGUCAAUGCAAUAGGCACCCAAGUACAACAAAGCGUCAGGUUAAAACAACAACAGCCAUUUUCUCUAGACAGAGGAGAGAUAAUGAAAACAGAUGCAUCUAAUCUUAAGUGGUGUAAAAUUAACAACAACGAAAAUCAACUACAACAAUAAAUGAUUGACGGGAAGAAGGAAUACAUCUUGACUGGUAUAUCCACAUGAUUCUUACAAGUAAUAGCAAACCAGAUAGACUAUGAGUCUUGUUUUUGGAACUGUAACGCCAAAGUGAUUACUGGAUAUAAAUUUCAUUUUUUACUGCAAAAAUUUAAGGAGAUCGAAAUGAAUCUGAUUGUAAAUCAAUAUAUCUCAAUUGAACACUCCAAAAGAGCACAAAUAAUUGACAGUAGGGCGUUUCCUUGACUAAGCUACUUCUUAUGGACAAGACUGAAUCUGCCACGGCUGCUAGUCUGAAAUAUUGUCUUCACCUCAGAAAUGAGUCUGCAGGAAGGAGAGUUGGCCUUCACACCAACAUAAGCACCAGAACUGGCAGGCCAUACAGCAAUAGUGACUACUUUCAAUACAGCUUCAUUGAGUUAGAGCCCAUCACCCAUACAAAUACUAUAUAUCCCUCACCAACUGCAAACUCAUAGCCUAACAGACAAUACAAAGAUGACUCCCUGCUCAUAUGUUAGUAAUGAUACUUGUGAAGAAUAACCAUAAGGUGUAAUUCAGCCCUUGUAACCUGCAUGUUCAUGUAAGGAGCAGCAAUAUUAAGGUAAGAUGACAAUUAACGCCAAACUGCAUUUAUUAGAACCUAUACCCAUUGACUUUCAUCCUUUGCAGCCAAGCAGGAUGUGCAAUGGAAGGAUCACAUAUGGCCUCGAUUGCUACAUGGUCUAUUUCUGGAUCAUGACAAAUUUUCUCAAGUAAAGUGACCAUCCAGAUCAACAAAGAGUAUAGCUAAUGUGCAAUGGAUAACCUAUUUGCUUUCUUCUUCAUAAAGAUUUAAUAGCUAGGAGAAAAAAUCAGAAAUAUGGAUGUUCCAUUAUUGAAAAUCACCAAAGAAGGACUAUUGAAUUACUAGUAAGCCAAAAACCAAGUAACACAAAUGUAAAUUGCCUAAACUUGUAGAAACCCCAAAUUUAAAGCAUCUAGGAAAGUAGAGGACGCAACAAGCAUGAGUAUGCUGCAACAAGAACGAACAUAGCAAUAUAAAAAAUCCAUGUUGUGAUUUCACAAACUAAUAAAGGACACAUAACUAUUUCCUGAACAACAAAGUUUUCACUAAGGCUAUGUUUGUCACAUGAAUUUCCACUUAUUCUCUCUUGAUGACAAGCGAUAUACAUAUUUGGUCAUUAUACAAGCACUGUUUGUCAGAUGCUAGAAAGAAUAUUAUGAGAGAGAGAGAGAGAGAGAGAGGGAGGGAGGGAGGAUCUAUCCAACAUUGUAGGAACAGCUGCUUGCCAGAGUACAAGUAUGGUACAAGAAUGAGGAAGCCCAUUUUUUCAGGAGGGUAGAUAAUGCAUUUAGGGAAAAGAAAAGGUGAAUUGCAUGAAAGUAAAAUUAUUAUGUAGCUUUCAACCCUGAUGGUAUACAAAUGCAAGCUACAACCCUACAGUGCCUUGUUAAACGAAGCUCUACAUAGUAUUUAAAUUUCAGAAACUCAGUGAUUCGCAAUGCAAGAGUUGUUGUUAUGAUGUAGGACCACAUGAUGUCUCUGUACUAAACAGCCUAAUAUUAGUUUCCUGAUGAAAACGCAAAUAAAUAUAUGCAUACAACAGAUUAAAACCCAAGCAGGGCAUAUUACUUUACUAUUCAAACAAAAAGAAGAAGAAGAAGAAGAAACACGUGGGAACGUAACGGAGAAGAAGGAAAAAACCAAACAAAAAGUUCUGCACAGAUAAAUGAGGAGCUGCAUAUGCCAAUUGAGAUAUAAUUAUUGACUCAUUUUUAACUACAGUUUUUGAGAAGCAGGAAUUAGGAUUACAUCUUCAGAUGCCAUGUUGAAGAACAUAGUGUGUUAAUGGCACUGCUACAAGGACUCAACAAAAAACAAAAACAAAACAAAAACAAAACAAAACAAAAAAAAUCCAGAGAACAAUACAGGAUCAAGGGGAACAAAUCAAAAGAACAUCCCUCAACACCGUGGAAGUUACGCAAAAUUCGCCAAAACUUAACUCACUAGAUCCAUUGAAACUUAGAGCAUUCAUAGACGAAGAACAGAAAAUUCAGACCAAGAAAUGCCCAGCAUAAAAGAAAAGCCAUCUAAGGAAGGACGAGAAACUUCUAAACAAAUGAUCAAUAGAAAAGAAAAAACUUUAGCAAACAAAACUAGGAAAAGUAUUUUGAUUCUUGAAUGCCCGACCUAUCUAUCAAGAGAGGGAUUCACCCCGAAGAGUCAUUUCCUGUAGUGCAAGCUAAAAUUCUAGCAUAUAUUACUAAAAUAGUAUCAAGACAGAUAUAUCUGGAACAAAGAAAGUUAUGCCAACAAUUGGGAUUUCCAGUACUUGGGGUUUCAACCCAUUCUUGAGCUCAUUCUCAACAAAUCGAGAUACAGGCUUAAACAGAUCAUCCAAAAGUGCGAAAAUCUAUAUCGAUUUUCUAUGGAUUGAAGAAUCUUUGACAGUCAUUUGAUUACGAAAAGAAAUUGUAGGCAUAAACUCCAAAUAAGAAAGAAAAAAAUCAAUCCAAAUUUUGCCGAUAAAGAAAAUAAGGAUGGGGCGCAAGGGGGAGGCAAAGAUUUACCUCAAAUCUAUAGAGACGGAACCGACCCUUGGGGUUAGGGUUAGGUUUAGGUUUUGUCUUCCCUCUUCCUUCAAACCUUGACAGCUAAGAGAGAGCGAUAGCCAAAAAAUGAGAAAAAAUCUCUGAGUUGAAGCGACGGAGAUUGAUGCUCUAGAUUUUUCUUAUAUGCAUAUUUCCCUAUUUAAAGCCCCUAUAUAUCACAAAAAGAUUAAAGAAAUGGAGGAGUGGGAACCGAAUAAUCUUCAUCUUGCCCUAAUCCACGCGUACCUUAUCUCGGCCGUUAACUGUUCUGCCGUUUAAGCAAAGACGGUAGAUGUCGGGCCGGUCCGGCCUCUGAUUUAGAUAAGAUUAGAUUAGAUGUUCUCGGAUCGCCCAUGCUGCCACGAUGAUGCUAAUGGGCUGGACAAGAAAGCGGGCUGGUCCAAAUUAAUUUUAUGGCGCUUGGACGAGCUUUUUGUUGAUGCGUUCAGAAACCUGUACAGGCCUAGGUCCAGGUGGCUUCUCUAUUUUUCCUUUUUUUUUUUCCUCUCUUCUCCAGCCCCCUUCCUCGAUCCUUCCCUUCCAUUUGGAGGUUGAAAUAGCCAGAUAUAAAUGGGAUUUUUUUUUCUUUUAUUUUAAAGCCAUAAGUAGAUGGCAAUUGUGUAUCCUUAAUCAGCACAACUAGGAGACCCGUACCAUCCCGAUGCAUCCUUGAACUCAUGGCGCUCUUAAUUGUUUCCCCUGUUGAAAUCAUCGAUGGACUGAAGCCUUGGCCAAAAUUUAAUGCUUGUUUGUAUAACAUACAAGUGUAGAAAAAAUAUCUUAUAAAUAUGCAUAUAUAAAUAGGCUAGAAUAAUAUCGAUUGGAUUUAAACUCCGAUCCAAUCAAGUCAAAACUUUGUAAUAAGAAUUCUACAUCAAUGAUCUAAGUCGUUGGAUAUCUACUAUUUCAAGACUGUUUGCAUGCAAAAAAUUAUAUGAUUUAAAGACUCCUAACUUACACAUUAAGUGGUCAAAAAUUGAAUAGCCUAAAUAAAGUUAAAUUAAAUGUAUUGUUUGAUUACUUGGUACAUAAGUUAAGGAUCUUCAAAUUAUAUGAUUUUUUAUGUGCGCGCAGUUUGAAGAUUGUAAGUCAUAUCCGAUGGCUUAGAUCAUCGAUGUAAAAUUUUUAUUGUCCAAUUUUGAUUUGAUCAGAUCUAAGUCUAAAUCUGACUGAUCAUAUCCAAAUCUACCAUACAUACGUGCUGCAUGCUUCGAAGAUAUGGCAGAUAAUGACGGUCCGAUCAUAAUUCUUUCUAUGGCCGGAUACGUGCUUCGAAGAUAUGGCAGAUGAUGACAGUCCAACCAUAAUUCCUUCUAUGGUUAGUUUUAUCUACUUAUAUGCUGUAUCUCUUUUCUAUAUGAAAUUAUCCAGAACAACUUUUUUUUGGGGGGGGGGGGGGAGGGAGGGACGGCCAAGGCGGAUGUACGGUACAGCAGAUGCAGCUACAUGCAGGUUCUACAAAGCACAAAGCACUGGUAGCAGUUUCGGUAAUAUAUGCGCAGCAUUAUUUCAUUUUGAUCAAUGGUAAUAUAAACUGG
rnacentral:lncRNA from 1 species